AUUGAACGCUGGCGGCAGGCUUAACACAUGCAAGUCGAGCGGGGUGAUGGUGCUUGCACUAUCACUUAGCGGCGGACGGGUGCGUAAUGCUUAGGAAUCUGCCUAUUAGUGGGGGACAGCAUCUCGAAAGGGAUGCUAAUACCGCAUACGUCCUACGGGAGAAAGCAGGGGAUCACUUGUGACCUUGCGCUAAUAGAUGAGCCUAAGUCGGAUUAGCUAGUUGGUGGGGUAAAGGCCUACCAAGGCGACGAUCUGUAGCGGGUCUGAGAGGAUGAUCCGCCACACUGGGACUGAGACACGGCCCAGCCUCCUACGGGAGGCAGCAGUGGGGAAUAUUGGACAAUGGGGGGAACCCUGAUCCAGCCAUGCCGCGUGUGUGAAGAAGGCCUUAUGGUUGUAAAGCACUUUAAGCGAGGAGGAGGCUCUUUUGGUUAAUACCCAAGAUGAGUGGACGUUACUCGCAGAAUAAGCACCGGCUAACUCUGUGCCAGCCGCCGCAGUAA
rnacentral:rRNA from 1 species